UACGUAGGGUGCGAGCGUUGCCCGGAUUUAUUGGGCGUAAAGGGCGCGUAGGCGGCUCUGCACGUCCGUUGUGAAAUCGCCCGGCUCAACUGGGCGGGGUCAGCGGAUACGGCGGAGCUUGAGCAAGCUAGGGGGCAAUGGAAUUCCCGGUGUAGUGGUGGAAUGCGUAGAUAUUGGGAAGAACACCUGAGGCGAAGGCGGGUUGCUGGGCUGAUACUGACGCUGAGGCGCGAAAGCCAGGGGAGCAAACGGG
rnacentral:rRNA from 1 species